rnacentral:rRNA from 1 species
CCUACGGGACGCAGCAGUGGGGAAUAUUGCACAAUGGGGGGAACCCUGAUGCAGCAAUGCCGCGUGAAGGAUGAAGGUUUUCGGAUUGUAAACUUCUUUUGUACGGGACGAAGAAAGUGACGGUACCGUAAGAAUAAGCCCCGGCUAACUACGUGCCAGCAGCCGCGGUAAUACGUAGGGGGCGAGCGUUAUCCGGAUUCACUGGGCGUAAAGGGAGCGCAGGCGGCACGGCAAGUCCGGUGUGAAAGCCCGGGGCCCAACCCCGGGACUGCACUGGAAACUGCCGGGCUGGAGUGUCGGAGGGG